rfam:Thermodesulfobacterium commune DSM 2178, complete genome.
GCCCACGUAGCUCAGGAGGUAGAGCACUUCCUUGGUAAGGAAGAGGUCACCGGUUCGAGUCCGGUCGUGGGCU